ACUACGGGUGGCUGCAGUGGGGAAUAUUGGGCAAUGGGCGCAAGCCUGACCCAGCAACGCCGCGUGAAGGAAGAAGGCUUUCGGGUUGUAAACUUCUUUUCUCAGGGACGAAGCAAGUGACGGUACCUGAGGAAUAAGCCACGGCUAACUACGUGCCAGCAGCCGCGGUAAUACGUAGGUGGCAAGCGUUAGCCGGAUUUACUGGGUGUAAAGGGCGUGUAGGCGGGAAAGCAAGUCAGAUGUGAAAACCAUGGGCUCAACCUGUGGCCUGCAUUUGAAACUGUUUUUCUUGAGUACUGGAGAGGCAGACGGAAUUCCUAGUGUAGCGGUGAAAUGCGUAGAUAUUAGGAGGAACACCAGUGGCGAAGGCGGUCUGCUGGACAGCAACUGACGCUGAGGCGCGAAAGCGUGGGGAGCAAACAGGAUUAGAUACCCGAGUAGUC
rnacentral:rRNA from 1 species